rnacentral:misc_RNA from 1 species
CGAGUCCGUUUCUUCCAGGCCCUUCUUGAAAGGGUGUUGGGUAUUGGGUCGUCGUCCUCCUCUCCUUUUCCCUGGAGGAUGGGCCCGAAAGGCAGUGGCGGUACCCGCUUUUGGUCCGGAAGCGUAUGGGGGCUCUGAUUUUUGUGACCUGCUUCCCGGGACCGAAUCGGUGACUAGCCUAUGUUCUCCUUGGUUCUCAUCCC